rnacentral:lncRNA from 1 species
AAGAGGUUCCUGAGCCAGGGGUCAAACUUGUGCCACAGCAGUGGCCUGAGACUGCAGUAACAACUGCCAGAUCCUGAAAAUCCACUGCACCACAAGGGAAAUUCAAACUCCCUGAAAAUGUUUAAUAAUUUAUGCAAUGUUUAAAAACGGAAGAAAAAUUAUAAAUUUGUUUUAAACCUCUCUUUAAAAAAAAAAAAAACUUGGUUUAUCACUUUCCGAUUCAGAAAUUCAGAGGCAUGUCUUAAGGAGAAUGUGCUUUAGUACUUCAUUAAACAGUUGCCCUUGGCAGAGCUUUCUUGCCUGCCCACUUGGAUUUCUCACAACCGUCCUAUCCUAAUAAAUCUGUUUCUUGCCUAAUAAAAUAAAAUAAAAUAAAAUAAACAGUCGCCCUUGCUGAAAACAUCCUUACAUAGAAAGACAGAUAUUUAUUUAUUUAUUUAUUAUUUUGCUUUUUGGUGCCGUACCCACAGCUUUUAGAGAUUCCCAGGCUAGGGGUCUAAUCAGAGCUGUUGCUACUGGUCUACACCACAGCCACAGCAAUGCCAGAUCUGAGCCCCGUCUGAGACCUACACCGCAGCUCACGGCAACACCAGAUCCUUAACCCACUGAGCAAGGCCAGGGAUCGAACCCGCAACCUCAUGGUUCCUAGUAGGAUUUGUUUCCACUGGGCCACGGUGAGAACUCCAACAAUUCUUAAUUGUACAAAUAUAGGAGUACAGUGUACAGAUAAAAGAGAUUUUAGAGGUUGCUCUUUUUAAAUUUUUUGUUGGAUUUCAUCAACAAAGAUAAAUUUUACUGUAUGUAAAAAUUAAAAUAAAAAAAUCCAGUGAUUCUUGACAAGUGCGUCGAUAGUCUUAUGCACGGCUGAAAUCUAUUACCAUUUUGUUGCCAGACUCUCCCCUUGCCCUUUAACCUUUGGCAACCAGUGAUCGUUUUUAGCCUAAAGCAUUUCAAACACAUCCAUGUUGUUAUGUGCAUUAACCAUUCCUUUUAUUAUAAAACACUUAUUAUAUGGAUGUACCAGUUUGCUUAUCCAUCUACCAAUUGAGAGAUACUUAGGCUGUUUCCAGUUUGGAUGGUUUUGAACAAAGCCAUAAAAACAUUUUUGUGGGAACACAGGUUUCCAUUUCACUUGGGCAAUCGAAACUGCCAAACUCUUAACCAAGUGUCUCUGCCAUUUUGCAGGGUCUGAGUUCCAGUUGCUGCACAGUCUUUUUUUUUUUUUAGGGCCACACCUGUGGUAUAUGGACGUUCCCAGGCUAGGGAUUGAAUCAAAACUGCAGCUGCCAGCUAUAGCCAUGGCCACAGCCAUAGCAAUGCGGGAUCUGAGCCGCAUCUGUGAUCUACACCACAGCUCACAGCAACACCUGAUCCUUAACCAUUGAGCAAGGCCAGGGAUUGAACCUGCAUCCUCAUGGAUACUAUGCACUUGUCUAGUUCACUGAGACACAACUGGAAAUCUGCUACACAUUCUUGACAGCACGUAGUUUUGUCAGUCACAAUAAAUAAAUAAAUAAAUAAAUUCAGAGUUCCUGCUGUGGCACAGUGGGUUAGGAAUCCAACUGUAGCAGCUUGGGUUGCUGUGGAGGCAUGAGUUCAAUCCCAGCCUGAUGCAGGGGGUUAAAGGAUCCUGUGUUGCUGCAGUGGUGUAGGUCACAGCUGAAGCUCAGAUUUGAUCCCUGGCCUGGAAACUCCAUAUACCGUGGAUGUGGCCAUAAAAAAAUUUUUUUUGACCGUUCUGAUAGGUGUGUAGUGGUGUAGUGAGUGAUACCUGUUUUUAAUUUACAUUCCCCUAAUGAAUAGUGAUGUUGCAUCUUUUCGUGUGCUUAUUUUCCAUCUGUUUCUCUUUGGUGAAGUCUGUUCAGAUCUUUUGACCAUUUUAAAAAUUGUGUUUCUUAUUUUAUUACUGAAUUUUGAGAGUUCGUUAUAGGUUUUAUUUUUUAUUUUUAUUUAUUUAUUUUUUAUUAUUUUGUCUUUUUGCUGUUUCUUGGGCCGCUCCCGUGGCAUAUUGGAGGUUCCCAGGCUGGGGGUCUAAUCGGAGCUGUAGCCACCAGCCUACACCAGGGCCACAGCAACGCAGGAUCCGAGCCGCGUCUGCAGCCUACCCCACAGCUCACGGCAACGCCGGAUCCUUGACUCACUAAGCAAGGCCAGGGAUCGAACCCGCAACCUUAUGGUUCCUAGUCAGAUUUGUUAACCACGGAGCCACAACGGGAACUCCCCGUUAUAUGUUUUAGAUACAAGUUCUUUGUUACAUAACUGGUUUGUGGAUAUUUUUUUUCCAGACUGUAGUUUAUCUUUUCAUUCUCUGAAAAGUGUUUUUCAGAGCAGAAGUUUAAAAUUUUGAUAAUUCAAUUUAUCCCUUUUUAAAAAUAAAUUGUAUUAAAUUGUAGUAACUAAGAAAUCUUUUAUUUUCUGUUUUUUGUCUUUUUAGGGCCGCUCCCACAGCAUAAGGGGGUUCCCAGGCUAGAGGUUGAAUCAGAGCCAUAGCUACUGUCCUACACCACAGCCACAGCAAUCCCAGAUCUGAGCUGCAUCUGCAACCUACACCACAGCUCACAGCAAUGCCGGAUACUUAACCCACUGAGCAAGGCUGGGGAUUGAACCUGCGUCCUCAUGGAUGAUAGUCAGCUUCGUUUCCACUGAGCCAUGUCGGGAACUCCUAAGAAAUCUUUUCUAACACAAAGUUACAAAGAUUUUCUUCUGCAUUUUCUUCUAAAUGUCAUCCAUUUUGGAUUAAUUUUUAUAUCUGCAUACCAACUUUAAAUUAAGAGCUCACAUAAACUGAAAAUACUGCUAAAUACCAGUUUUUGCCAUAGCGCAAGUUCUGUUUCCAUUCCCUGUUACAAUGCUGCCUUUACUUUGAAGGGACAGAUUUAGUGUGUUUAUUUUUUGGAAAAUAUUGUGAAGUCAAUAUUUUUUUUUGUCAGCUCUUUUUUACCACAAAGGCCAGAGAGUUUGGAGUGCUCAUCUUUUUUUUUACAUUUUUAAAGUACGUUGAUGUAAAUGAAUCUUUUUGGGGGAAUUAUAUCCCAUUACAAAAAAUUGCAAGGAUCCUGCUGUUUAAAGAUUGGGUUUUUACAAUAUCAGUCUCAUUAUUGACAUUUUAAAGCACAGAAACAACAGUAUUCAUGAUGAUUUGAAAACAAAGGCGGAGGAAGAGUGCCGCUGUUACCUGCCCUACACCCUGACUCGCACACAGUGAGAGCCCCACUCUUCCUUCUAGACACCUGUACACACAUGACACAUUAUAGUCCAGGGGAGAGAUGGGUAGCACUCCAUAUACUAUGACUGUUGGGUGAAUUUUUUUUUUUGUUUUUAUGGCUGCCCCUAUGCCGUAUGGAUGUUCCCAGGCUAGGGGUUGAAUGGGAGCUGCAGCUGCCGGCCUACCCCUCAGCCACAGCAACAUCAGAUCCAAGCCACAUCUGUGACCUACACUGCAGCUGUGACAAUGCCAGAUCCUUCACUGACUGAGCGAGGCCAGGGAUCAACAUCGGAGGCCACAUCAGGUCCUUAACCUAUUGAGCCACAAUGGGAACUCCAGAUCUUUUUUUUCUUUUAAGAUAAACAUAAAUAGAUAAAAUUGUUAGUGUUUUUCACGGUGCCCCCUAGACUGCAAUAGGAUCAGUAGCGUAUUAGGAGCAUUGGAACAUGUGUUUGAUCCCCAGCCUGGCACAGUGGGUUGAGGAUCUGGUGUUGCCGCAGCUACAGCUUAGGUGACAGCUGUGCCUGGGAUGAUCCUUAGCCCAGGUGCUCCAUAUGCCACAGGGCGACCAAAAAUGAAAAAAAAAAAGUUAUUUUUAGCCUUUUUCCCCCUAUCCUGGAGGAAUGUCUUAUGUACCUCCUGGGGGUACCACAGUCCUGAGAAGUUUCACAAUGCUGCGUCUCUCCCUGCAUUCCCCUUGUGUCUAGCAGAUGGUAGGCAAUCUGUGAGUCUUUGAGAAGUAAAUGUAUUUUCCCGUCUUAAACGGUGAAGUUGGAUUACUUCCUGUUAUCUUUUUCCAACCUGCUUUCUUCUAGAAUCUGUUUUCCCAUAACCAACUUCUAAGCUCUAAUUUGAAGGUCUUGACAGAUGGUUUUUUUGUUUGUUUGUUUUGUUUUUCCUAUGGCCGCACCUGCAGCAUAUGGAGGUUCCCAGGCUAGGGGUCGAAUCAGAGCUGUAGCCACCAGCCUACACCAGAGCCACAGCAACGUGGGAUCUGAGCCGCAUCUGCAACCUAUACCACAGCUCAUGGCAACCUAUACCACAGACCACGGUUGGAUCCUUAACCCACCGGGCGAGGCCAGGGAUUGAACCCGCAACCUCAUGGUUCCUAAUCGGAUUCGUUAGCCACUGAGCCAUGAUGGGAACUCCAACAUAUGUUUCUUAGAGGAUGACAUUCCCAAUUACUCAUACUGUAGGACCACGGAACUGUAAGAGAAUAUAAUUUUGGAGCUGAAAGGGGACUUGGAGUUCUGUUAGUCCAAAUCCUUUAUUAAAAUCCAACCAAAAAAUAAAUGAACUGUGGUUAAGUUCAUAGACUGGAAUAUGAUUCAUUAUUAAAAAGAGAAUGGACUAUUGAUAUAGGCAGUGAAUCGUAAAAGAAUUAUGAAGCAUGAAAGAAGUCAGGCAGAAAUCACUACUUAAUGUCUGAUUUCAUGUAUUAAAACUUAUGGAAAAUACAAACUAUAGUGACAGUAGACAGGGGCUGCCUGAGGAUGAGGAGGGAAGGGACAGCUGGAUUCAGAGGGACACGAGGAAACUUGGGUAUGAUAGUCCAUUAUCAUGUUGUGGUGAUGGUUUUGCAGGUAUAUGCAGAUGCACAACUCAUCAAAUGGUACAUUUUAAAUAUGCACAGUUUAUUAUUAUAUGUCUGUUAGAUAGCAAUAAAGCCAUUUAAAGAAAAAAAAAAAAAAA